rnacentral:rRNA from 1 species
AUUGAACGCUGGCGGCAGGCCUAACACAUGCACGUCGAACGAGUGGCGGACGGGUGAGUAAUGUCUGGGAACCUGCCUGAUGGAGGGGGAUAACUCCUGGAAACGGUAGCUAAUACCGCAUACCAUCAGAUGGGCCCAGAUGGGAUUAGCUAGUUGGUGUGGUACAGGCUCACCAAGGCGACGAUCCCUAGCUGGUCUGAGAGGAUGACCAGCCACACUGGAACUGAGACACGGUCCAGACUCCUACGGGAGGCAGCAGUGGGGAAUAUUGGACAAUGGGCGCAAGCCUGAUGCAGCAAGGCCGCGUGUAUGAAGAAGGCGUUCGGGUUGUAAAGUACUUUCAGCGGGGAGGCGUUACCCGCAGAAGAAGCACCGGCUAACUCCGUGCCAGCAGCCGCGGUAAUAC